AGCUAAUAGAUACCCGGGUAGUCCACGCCCUAAACGAUGUCUACUAGUUGUUGGUGGAGUAAAAUCCAUGAGUAAACGCAGCUAAACGCGUGAAGUAGACCGCCUGGGGAGUACGGUCGCAAGAUUAAAAACUCAAAGGAAUUGACGGGGGCCCGCACAAGCGGUGGAUUAUGUGGAUUAAAUUCGAUGCAACGCGAAAAACCUUACCUGGCCUUGACAUGCCACUAACGAAGCAGAGAUGCAUUAGGUGCCCGUAAGGGAAAGUGGACACAGGUGCUGCAUGGCUGUCGUCAGCUCGUGUCGUGAGAUGUUGGGUUAAGUCCCGCAACGAGCGCAACCCUUGCCAUUAAUUGCCAUCAUUUAGUUGGGCACUUUAAUGGGACUGCCGGUGACAAACCGGAGGAAGGUGGGGAUGACGUCAAGUCCUCAUGGCCCUUAUGGCCAGGGCUUCACACGUAAUACAAUGGUCGGUACAGAGAGUUGCCAACCCGCGAGGGGUAGCUAAUCUCAGAAAGCCGAUCGUAGUCCGGAUUGUUCU
rnacentral:rRNA from 1 species